rnacentral:rRNA from 1 species
UACGGGGGGGGGCAAGCGUUGUUCGGAAUUACUGGGCGUAAAGGGCUCGUAGGUGGCCAACUAAGUCAGACGUGAAAUCCCUCAGCUUAACUGGGGAACUGCGUCUGAUACUGGAUGGCUUGAGUUUGGGAGAGGGAUGCGGAAUUCCAGGUGUAGCGGUGAAAUGCGUAGAUAUCUGGAGGAACACCGGUGGCGAAGGCGGCAUCCUGGACCGGUAUUGACGCUGAGGCGCGAAAGCUAGGGGAGCAAACGGG